rnacentral:rRNA from 1 species
ACGAACGCUGGCGGCGUGCCUAAUCCAUGCAAGUAGAACGCUGAAGGAGGAGCUUGCUUCUCUGGAUGAGUUGCGAACGGGUGAGUAACGCGUAGGUAACCUGCCUGGUAGCGGGGGAUAACUAUUGGAAACGAUAGCUAAUACCGCAUAAUAGUAGAUGUCGCAUGACAUUUGCUUAAAAGGUGCAAUUGCAUCACUACCAGAUGGACCUGCGUUGUAUUAGCUAGUUGGUGAGGUAACGGCUCACCAAGGCAACGAUACAUAGCCGACCUGAGAGGGUGAUCGGCCACACUGGGACUGAGACACGGCCCAGACUCCUACGGGAGGCAGCAGUAGGGAAUCUUCGGCAAUGGACGGAAGUCUGACCGAGCAACGCCGCGUGAGUGAAGAAGGUUUUCGGAUCGUAAAGCUCUGUUGUAAGAGAAGAACGAGUGUGAGAGUGGAAAGUUCACACUGUGACGGUAUCUUACCAGAAAGGGACGGCUAACUACGUG